GGGAAUGUAGCUCAGUGGUUGAGUGCUUGCUUAGCAUGCACAAGGCAAGGCCAUCCUGGGUUCAGUCCCCAGCAUUUCAC
rnacentral:tRNA from 1 species